AAUCACAGGACAUGACAGUUUUACUAACGCCAUUUCCUGUGCAUGACAUCAUGUUUUCUUUCAUCGCAAGCAUAAGUAGGUAUUUUCCAAAUAUCCUUCUUUUAAGUGAUGACCCUUUUUUCUUGCCAUGUGUGAAACAAGGGGCUUGAUGCCAGGACAUUGCAUUUUAUAAGGGCAGAUGUUUUGCAAUCUGCAACACACCUCCAAUUUCUGAUUAAGUGAAAUUCAGUAUUCAGCGCACGCUAAACGGAUUUGGUUGGUUAAGAGCAAUUGAUGCAAGCCGAGUUGAGUCUUAUUUUCAGGACAUUAAUAGAAAAUAUCAUAAAUGUAGGACUAUGUUGCCCAUUGUGUACCCACCCUUAAAUAUUCCUGCUGAGAAGUUUCUCAAUAAGGCAGGCCAGGGACCCAUAAUCCAAUAUUAGAGCCCUGGAGAUGGUACACAUGCAGUUGAAAGCAGAGGUUUACAUACACUGUGCAAAGACACUUCUUUGCCCCCUAAAAAAGGUGUAUUUUUACUGACGUAUCAAGUCAGCAGUCAUUAUUGAUGUAAGUAAUUAUGUCAGUGCCUUUUUUUGAUUGGCAGGUUCAAAUCACUUUUGCAGAAUAUGUUUAUCAAGGGGUUAUUUGUCUACUUGUGAGUCACUCAUGUAGUCACCUACUCAUGCCUGCACACACAUACAGAAAUUAUUAAAUAUUAUCCACAGGCCAUGAGGUCAUUUGAGGACUUACUUUCAGAGUAAUUAUUUUAAUUUAAUCAACACUGUAUGUAUGUAUGUAUGUCUGAGGUGAAUAAUUACAACACAAGUCUGACAAGUUAACUUCAACCAUUUUCAUCUCUCCCUGUGAAGAAGGAAGUAUAUUCAUGUGUCCCAAACAGACACGAGAUGGGUCAGAAUUAAUGUCUAGCACCACUGAACAAGCGUUUGUAUUUAUUGAGAUGCGAGUGACAAUGUGUAGAUACCAAAAGUCAUGAAGGAAAUUGAUGGAGGAGGCAAGUGUAAAGUGGUGUACAUAGUGACAGCUUACAGCUCUUGGUGACAGGCGCAUGCACGGCCGACCGUGGAACCACCUUAUAAGCCUUGGGAUUAAGAAAGUAGCCCAAAGAAAAUUGACAGCCAAAUGCAUAACCCAUCCUCUGGGUACCAUGAAAGUUUGCAAUGAAUUUUGAGACAAACCACUGGGGUUUUUGAAGUAGCCUAGUAUAGUUCGGACAAAAAAAAGGUAUCUACUAACUAAAUGAGCAACAAAUGGACAUGGCCGUCCUUCAAUGAUGAGCUCUCCGGGAGUCCAGUCCCACACAGGUUUGGAAUUUAAUGUUUUGUAAAAGCUCAUUUUAAACUUCUAAUUAUCUGUUUUCUUAUGAUAAUGAUUAACAGUUUAGAACAUUUGUCUAGUCAACCAUGAGCAUUUAAUCAGUGGUUAAUUGCAUAAUGUCGAAAAUGGAGUUUAGAAGAAGAGGGAAUGAAAUUAUACUCAGAUUAUUUUUUUGAGUGUUUUGCUUCUAGUGUAGGAUCCACGACAAAUGCUUUUAUUCCUCUUCGGUCUGAAAGGAAUGCAAUUACACUUGCAUCUAUCAGAUCGUAGCCAGCGCUUGGUAGUUUGUAAUAUUUCUUCUUUCCUGUGUUCGCAUUUAUGGACUGAAUUCAUUUUUAAUCAAUAUGUUAUUAGAGACCUCAUUUCUAAGGCAGAAGCAGUAUCCUUUCGGAGGUUAGGUAGCUCUAAUGUAGGGCAUAACCGUUUUGUAAAGGCCCUUGGGUUACAAAAAGAGUACCGUGAGGGUACAAGACAAUUAGUUCAAUCCAGGUUAGCAAGUGUGAUGUAAAGCAUAGAGGGAAAGUUGAAAUCAAUGAUUUCUGUUUUGCCUGUCGCAUGGAGGCCUUCGUUAUGUGGGAGUUGAACAAUGAGCCCCCUUGAGGAGAAAGUGGUCUGCAGAGUAGAGCGAUGGACUGAGGUCGCUGUGUGAAAUGCUGGAAAUCCGAAAUAAAUUAUUUUCUUGUUAUUUCUUUAUUUUCCUCACAAGUGUCUAUCAAUCCAUAAAGGAAGCACACCAAUAUGGGUGGAAUGAGUAUAAAUAUACACAUACUGUAUAUGUAAGAGCAUUUAAAAUGUAUCGGAGUAAACUUCAUUUCCUAUCAACCUGAUUAAUGCCAACAAUAAUUCCCUCUCCAGACUAGGCUGUACUUAAAAUAGAACCUUCUUUCCAAAUUACACACAUCUACUCCAUUUGAGCUCUAAUAUUACAAUAAUAAUAAAUUAGUCAUCGUGCCAUUCAUCAGCCAUUUGCAUUAGUGUUGAUGAAUUAUUUAGAUCUUCUGAAUACGUUUCCAAAAGGAACAUGUAAUAUCAGUUGAAGAUGAUUCAUUUUUAAUUAGAGGCCCUACGAUUGUAUCAGGGCCCAAUGAAGCAGUGGGAUUGUUAAAGAUAAUUCAAUAUUUCCUGUAUCUGUUUGGGGGAAGGGUUCUCCAAAUGAAGGCAAGAGGGCAGGUGGCCUUAAUCCCAAACAAGGAUCCUUGUAUCCCAACGGCAUCUUCUGCAGGUAGUACAGGGAAAGAUUGUAGGUUCUCAAUCAAUUUGAUGAAAAGAAGAAAAUACUAUUCCAUUUUCAAUAUUAUACUUAUAUAUUAAGAUUUGUGGAAAAAUAAUUAGCAAGUUACUUGGGAGUAGUGGAUUUAUAGUUCAAAUAGUAAGCUAGCAGUAACGGAAGUAAUUAAAAUAGUCUGCUUAUCAGUUGAUGAAUUAUUGAAAUAGUUUUCACAUGGAUAAACAUCCACAAAUUAGUUUGAAGUUAUAGAUGAACUGGAAUCAAUAAAUUCACAGUACAUUUUAUAUAAACAUGUUUUUAAAUAGAUCUAAAUGAAUAUAUGACAGGAAGAGAAAGAUUAAUUGAUUUAAUCUGUGAGGGGCUAUGGGGAUAUGUAUCAGAAAAGUCUUGGAUCUGAUCUAUAGUGCUGUUCCUUCUCGCUUGGAUUAAACAAUGUCUGAUUGCUUGUGCAUCCACAGAGUUAAUGCGUGGGACAUGCCUGUGUCUUGUGUGUACACCUCACCACGAGCAACGACUGAUACAAUAUGCUGACUGAAUAAAUAGUGUCAUUAAGUCAUGUUGGAUACAUGUCUAGUUAGCACUGUUUCACAACCAUCCCUUUGCACAUUUGGGGUUUUAUUAUGUCCAUAUUUGCACCUAUCCAUAACAGAAUAACAGUGCAGAGUUUUAUCAACCACCCUCUAAUGCAUCAAUCAAGAAUACAUCCCCUGCAAAAGGAGUGAAUCCUCUGGUUGCAGGUUCUCUCUAAAUCAGUCCAUUAAAAAUCGCCCAAUGCCGUCCUACAUGCCACACCAUCAAACAGAGCAGGAGAGUCUGCCUUGUCACUUUUGGCAAAAAAAUACAGGCUUCUGCAGCCCUCCUCUGGUUGGCUCUUAGAUUUUUCAAGGGAGGCGGUGAAUGUGAUUGAGAUGUCAGCAGCUGGCAUUUUUGGAUUACAUAGAUUGGGGAGCAGUAGUUGCCACGGUCUGUAAUGGAAGUCUCAUUUUCCUUGAUGUAGAAAGCAGAGACCCUCCGCCCUCAGCAGCCCGGCUCUGCUAGUUGGCCGUUCAAAACGAGGACAUUUCUAUUUGAAAUCAGUGCUGCAUUUUCACAAAUUUUAAAAUUGCCCAAAUUGCUAAAAGAGAUCACUGAAUUCCUAUUUGUUUUAGAUUUAGAAUGCAGUAAAAAACAGAAAAGCCCAAUUACAGAAGUAACACACAACAUUCAGAGCAAUAUUACGGUUUGCCAUGUAAAGUUAUAGUUGAGCAAUGUUUACAGUCCCCCGCUCUUCUCUGUGUGUCGUUAUUCAAGCUUCUCCUUGCUUUUGUUUUCAAACUGGACCAGCUAUGAGUGCUUUUAGUACAUGUGUGUGAUCGCGCCCCACAUCGGCUAUCUCAACAGUGAGGUACUUUGCACUGCGCUUACGGCAGCUACAGCAGAAACUGCUGCCCCAUCCAACAGCGACAUUGUGGAAGGGGCAAUCUUUUAAGCAGAUAUACAAUCAAACUCACCUUACUUAAAAUAGUUACAUUUUUUUUAAAUUAUGCGUAUUUCUCUUUCCUAGAGAGAGGAUUGACGUACUUUGACCAUGGACGGGUUGUGGUUUUCUUAGUAUACAUAAACAGCUAGCCGGGCUUACUUUAAUGCACAAUAUCUAGGCAUACAGCAACUAUGUUGUCACGGCGUGGGUGCUUGGGGGGGGGGGUACAGACUCGGUACGACACAGUGGGUUUGGUUUCAAUGAGCUCUUUAUUGAUGCUUUCUCCUUGCUCCGCGAGGCCUCCCGGCGUCUCGCUCUCUCACACCGUCGCUCGCCUCCCGCUCGCCUCUACUGCAUUUUAAAGACAAACAGUCAGUAUACAAUCAGCUGAGGCCGAUUGCCUCCACCUGGCACCGUUCCCUGAGCCACUCCCCCUCUCCCCCUGCAGACGCCAAAACCACGCCCGCCACCACAUAUGUCUUUCUUUGUUUACACCAUAUGGUCCAACAGAACUUUGCUGUAGUGAGUUGGAAUAAGCCUUGGAGUUGAUAUUCCUUCACACAGUGACCCUGUACAGAGGUCAUGCUUGAUUCAACACCCACACAUAAGUCUUGCCUUUCAGUAUAAACAGCAUUAUUUAAUUUGCUGCAAUGUAAUAGAUGGAAAAAGUAUUAAUAUGCAAUAUUUUCAGAAAUAUGAAUACUAGAAAAACCUACGUACACUUUAUCUGACCUAAAAGGGAAAGCUCUUUAUUUUUUCUUUGUCGUUUUGUGCGCAUAAACAUAACUAACAGUGAGUAUGGGACGAGAUGAGGCACACUGACGACAUGGUUUGUGUGUUCAUAUUUACUGUUAUCAGAUACAUUUUUUUAAAUUCUAUUCAUUGUGAACAUUAACCCACAACACUGAAUACAGUUUGAGUGAGUUCCAACCCUAUAAUACAUAUAUGUUUGUAUAUGUGUUUUCUGGCUAAUCCUCUUUUGUCCUUUCCUCAGUAUCUCAUACCUUCCAAGCAAACAGGAUGCAGUAGCGUCUCAAAACUGUAAAGCGCUAUAAGACUGGUUUCUCAUCUCUCCAUCUACACUUAAUUCAAAAUCACCGAUGCAAGAGGACAAGACACACAUUUGUCCCUCCUGUUUAAGAUGUUGCAUGAGAAAUAAUAGCACACAAUGACAAAUUUGUGGUCGACGAUUACCUUCAGAUUUUGCAGCUGUGUUUAAGUUAGUGCAACGUUUCUUUAAUUGUAUUGUGAUUCUGAUUUCCCUGAAAUUGAUGCUAAAAAUCAAAUAGCAUGUCAAGCUUUCUCAAUGAUGCAUUGAUGGAAACAGAAAAUAUCCCAAACCAACAAGACGGUUAUAUCAGCCAAUGUUAGCUUAAAGUCAAACUACUUGAAUGGAGUAAGAUUUAAACACAGCCUCUCUCUCUGCCUUUGAUGUGUGGCUCUUAUUGCCAUACUUCAUUUUUAAAUGUCCCGAUAGCCAUGACACAGUAUCAGUGAGGGGAAGGACAGACAUUGUGUCACUAACACCAUUCUGUCACUUAUCUUCAAAUCAUUUGAAAGAACCUUAGCCCAUGAAGUGUUUAGGCAACUCUUUCUACCCCUUGUAAGUUUGUAUGUGUGUGUUUGUGUGCAGUAUGACUGUGACAAUGAGUACACAGGCUUGAGUUUUCACACUGGAAGUGCCAAUUAGCUCUUGGAGAUGGCAAGCGACCAUGAGUUGGCUCAGCAGUAACAAGCUUCUCCAGCAGAACCUCUCUGCCUCCCUUUCACUUUGUCUCAUGCUAUUUUCACUCUGCGUCUCCUCUUAAAAUCUGCCCGUUUUGCUAUCAUCCCAUUACCUGCUCCUUUCCAGCCAGCCCGUUGCUCAUUUCCUCUGCCUUUUUUUGGUAUUGCCCACCUUUUCCACUCUCUCUCCUUUUGCCUAUAUUUUUUCAUCUUGUAUGGGUCUCAGCUGUCUUAUUAUAGCAGUGCUUCUAGCGGACUUCUUGUCUUUUUUUCUUUGUACAUCACUCUCCCCCGGUCCCCUCCUCUCUCCUCAUUCAGACUCUUUUCCUUUUAUGUUCUCUUGUCCUCCUUCAUGUUCCAUCCCUGUUUAUUACAUACCAAUUUUAGCCAGUGAGAGAAAGUCCCUUUUAAUUUUGACUGAAUCAUUACGGUAAACAAAGAUCAAUUGUCUUGUGUUAGAGCUGGGGUUGGAAACCUUUUAAGAAACCAGCAAGAGGAGCCUAAGCUAGAUUGUCAAAGUAUCCAAAUGAAAAAAUCCAGACCAGUGUUGCCAACUCCUUUCGGAUGACUUGCUCUAAAAGUUGGCAAGUUGUUAACACUGACAGCUGUCCCUUCAGGCCUCGCAACAGAGCCACUCCAACAAAAUUGUUACAAUGAAUGUUAACAAUGAAGAUGGCUAUUGUUUGUCUGGCAGCCAACAAGGUUUCUUUUUUGUUUGAGCAUUUGAUUUCUGUGAGGAUGCAAAGAGAAUUUCAGGAAAUAAGUGGCCGCUGCCUCCUCUCAAAUUUGUCUUUUAAGAAAAUUCAAUUGAUGAAAUCCUGCAUUAAAAAAAGGACAUAUUAUUUGAGAUAAAACUGACCCUUGUGCAAUGGCUUUCCAUUCUAUCCUAUAAUAUGUAUUUUGACAUUCUCAUUCCUGUCACUUUGCUGGCCGAGUGUCCUGGCAUGAUAUCCACCUGGGUGGCUGUCCAGCUAAUCAGAGUCCUACAAAUCUGGCAUGUCUUGACUUCUGCGACCAGUAUCAAAAUGCUGCCAACGAAAUGCUCUUCCUGAUUCUACAAGUAAGGUCCUUUGAUUAGUUGAGUCUCUGUGAUCAUACUCUGAUUUGGAAUAGUGCUUUACCGCACUAUUGUGACGAAAACGCUGCUCUCUUUCACUUGGGGUAAGGACACAUUCCCUAUCGGGAGUAGGCAACCAUGGCCUCAGAUUUAGAGGAGCUAAUCCUCAUCCCGACCGCUGCAAAAAGCAGCGAUGAAAACUGCAGCACCCCUAAACUCUAGACCCUCCGCCUCACAACUACGCCUCGAUAUCCUGUCCACGAAAACCACAAACAAGAUUGGUGACAAGCGGCAGUCCUGGCGAAGGCCAACCCCCACCGGGAAACGCCUCCAACUUACUGCCGAGCACCCGAGCUCUUGCUUCGGGCGUGCAGGGAUUGGAUGGCCCCUAGUAGGGACCCCUCUCACCCCGUACUCCCGCAGCACCUCCAACAUUAUCUCUGGAGGAAUAGUCACGUUUUGAACCCCUCACCCUUCGUUUGGGUUCCCCUGCCUGCCCCUCAUGGGAUAUGAUUAGCCUUCAGUUUGUAUGUGUGCUGUUGCAAUUAAAAUAUGUAACUCUUUCAUAGAUUUCAUUAAUGAUAAAUCAUUAAUUUAUCUUAGAUAACUAAAAUGAUAAACCUGUACGACACUUAAUUGCAAUUCAUUAGGAAUCAAAAAUCCAAUAUAGCGGUCUGAACAGCAUUUUGCUGACGUCAAACCACAUUGAGAUAAGAAGCCUCAGGUUGAACCUCAAGGGGUAUGAGUUGGAUAAAAUGAAGGUGAAAUCAAAUUGACAUUGGUUACCCUUGAUUUGGAUCUGCAGCUGGUCAGCUGCGGGUUCAGGUCAGUUUUUAAUUGCAUAUGUUUGUGUAAGUCUUUGGGCUUUGUGUUUUUGAAUGUUGUACUAUAGUCACUACAUACAGUGCAUCUGGAAAGUAUUCACAGCGCUUCAAUUUUUCACAUUUUGUUAUGUUACCGCCUUAUUCCAAAAUGGAUUACUUUCCUCAACAUUGUACACACAACAACCCAUAAUGACAAAGUGAAAACUGAUUUCAUGUACAUAAGUAUUCACAGCCUUUGCCAUGACACUCAAAAUUUAGCUCAGGUGCAUCCUGUUUCUACUGAUCAUCCUUGAGAUGUUUCUACAACUUGAUUGGAGUCCACCUGUGCUAUAUUCAGUUGGACUUGGACAGGAUUGAGAAAGGCACACACCUGUCUAUAUAAAGGUAUCACAGUUGACAGUGCAUAUCAGAGCAUAAACCAAGCCAUAAAGUCCAAGGAAUUAUCUGUAGACCUCCGAGACAGAAUUGUAUCGAGGCACAGAUCUGGCGAAGGGUACAAAAAUAUUUCUGCAGCAUUGAAAGCAACCCUUCACGCCUCUUAUCGCUGACUUUCCAUUAAGUAUUGUGUAAUGAGCGUAACCCUGGAAGUUGAUUGAGGUUAUUCAGAAUCUGUUUCUGAACUGGUUUACUGUAGGAAUAAGAAGUACCACUUCUUAGCUAAGAUGGCAAAAAAAAUGCAGUCCUCUGUGGAGAUGCCCUCUGGACGUAUUUAGUUUGACCUGGCUCUCACAUUAACAGGUAACGCAUGAAUGUGCAAACAAAGCUAGUUAGAGCGCUUCUUUAUGGGGACGAUUUGCCCAUGCCUUUGUCAUUUGCUUUUCUCUUACCAUUGGGCGGCUUUUCAUGCUCGGCUUGCACUGCUCUGGCUUGAUGCCAUUUCAAGGCAGACAUCUCAUCAAGAUGAGUGACAAAUGCUGGCGACUUGACCGACAGGAAGGCAAAGGGCAAUCAAAAAAGUAAAACACAUUUCAGCCCUCAGGCAAGAAAGCUGCACAUUGCUUUAACCAACAGGCGCGAUCUUCUAUCUGAGUGCCACAUGGCAGCGGGAGGAAUCGGCCAAAUCUUAUCUUUACAAUUCUCUGUGACUGCUUCCCAUGUGGUACAGAUUUCGUAAUUAAGCUGGACUGUGAAAACCCACAGAUGUUGUUGCGAGCCACACUGCCAGUGGUUGGCAGAAAAGCCUGCUGCUUGGUGCCACCAUGUGUUUUUGUGUGUUGGUGGGUGUGGACAGUAGGGAAAGGGAAGGAGUGAGGGAACCUACUUUUUUCUCUGUGCUACGGCAUGUGCAGGUUAGGACUGGGUGGUAUGUGCAUAUGUAGACAUAUAUAUAUAUAUAAAUAAUGGUACACUGUGGAAAAAAAGAAUCUAGAGGGUUCAACUUAAAAACAUACAUUCAAUUGCGGCCUUAAACUUUCAAGUGGAGUCAAAUUGGAUUUACAUCUUGGGCUAAGUUUACAUGACUGUAUAGUACAUGUUUAAUUAACCUAGCAACACAAGUUUAAAAGAUGUAUAACUCAUUAUCAGGCUUUCUGCUCACUAGGUUUAACUAAUUGUUUCAACUCUUAUUUUACUAACAUAUGUCUUGUUGCAUUAAAAUAAAAUUUACACAUUAUAACAUGCAAAUAUCUAACAACUUCUAUACUGUAUUUAAACAAAAUAUUCAGUGGAGUUGAACAUUCAAAGUUCAGACAGAAAAACUUUAAGUCAAUGUAAAACGGACUUCAACAAUUUACAAAUUAUGAGCAACCCCGUACACCUUUCUCGAGGAAGUUCCAAAUGUUUGCAGCUUUGUAGACCUCGAGCGCUCUUAGGACCAGGUCACCAACGACUGCGUCCAGCUGGCCUAGUAACAGCCACCCUGCUUCGGAACAGUAGAAGCGGUCCGCCGUGCUCACAUCAUGGCACAUGGAUCUGUCAUACAUGUUGAAGUUUGUGUCCUGUCUUACAUCUGAUUUUGAUACUUCCUGUUUUAUUGUGGCGUCUAAACCCCCUCCCGUUUCAGGUGCCUUGCCCUUCCUCAGGUGUCUCCUGUCGAUUGGCUCCCCUGAUUCCUAAUUGUCUCCACCUGUUCCCUCAUGGAUACUUAUUGUCUGCGUCUCCCUUUGUCCUGUGCCAGUGUGUCUUGUAGUUGUGCAUGUCCACACCGCGUUAGUAUUGUGUUGUGAAAGGAUCGUUGUAUUUUGGUAUUAGAUAUAUGAAAUUAUUGGAAUAAAUCUCCUGCAGUCAAGCCUCUCUGCGUCCUUGUCCUCCUCCCCGGCUCCGGCCUGACUGACAGGAUCUUUGCUGUGAAAGUUUUUGGCCUAGAGAAGAGAAAGUGUUUCUAGCAGGGACCACACAUUUGAUGUUUGAGAAACACUGAUAAGACAGUUGAUCUUAUAAAUCUAAAAUCUGCAUAUUCAAAGGAAGGACUGAUUAAUAUUCAAACAGACUAGCAUGUCCCGAUCAGAUUCUAAAUAUUGUCAUUUGUAAUAAUAGGGGAAUAUAUAGUGUGUGCAUGUUAAUGUCGUUCGAGUAGCAUGUUUAUUUUGUCUGUAACUAAUGUUAAUUUUUUUUUUUAACAGUUUUACUUUAUCCAACCAGGUAUCCAGGUAUCAGCAAAUAGAUAUAUUAAAUUCUGUAUUCUAGAAAUGUCUUUGCCUGAAGGAGUGCGCUAUGGGUAAUUUGUCCCAUCUGCAUUCAAACACAUUUGGACAUUUUGAGCAUCUUUUUAAUUAGGUGUUUACAGUGCAGCUUUUGUGAGCUGUGACGUUGGAUGUGCUCGGCCGUCUGUCCCGAGUUUAGCUGCGAUAUGUCUUCGACAGCCCUGACAGCUUAUCAGUUCUCACAUAAUCUCAUAGCCGCUUCAUGUUUGUGGGAAAUCCUGCUGUGUUUAAUCCUUCAUACCUGACUUACGUUUUGAGCAAGAGAUGUGUAGAUAAUUCUGUAUUUUAAAACAUUGUCAUGUUGGCUCAAGCCUGUAAUUCCAUUUUUAAUUAUCAACUAAGCUUCCAUAUCAACCCAUCAUUAUAUUAUAAGGGCCUCUCACACAGAAUGUGAAAACUGCAAAUUUAGAGAUGAUACAGCCCAACUGUGGGAAAUAACAUUGAAUGUAACUUAGAAGGCCCACACCUUUCACUGAAAGAAUGCAUUGUUUAAUAUACAUUAAUAAUAUUAAACAGGUGAGUUAAUUAAACGAUCGCCCAUGCAUGAACAAGUAUACAAGCUAUAGACACCAAAUAUAUUGUUUGUACGGCUGUAAACAAUCAUUUUAUUUUGAAGGUCCAUGGGGAUUUUCUUACUGUUGGAGCCAGUCUCAGGUGAACUGCAGCUUUUGGCCCUUUCACAUUGCUUCCUUAUUCUGCCCAUGUAUUGUAUUAGCUGUCACUGAGUAUCAAAGUGAUCUGUGUCCAUCAUGUACUUUGCCAGCUGCUGGUGUCAAAUAGUACCACCUUUUAUUGAGUGGGGUAUCUGAAUCUGGGGUCUGCUCGGCACCUUUCUGUGUGGAGUCUGCAUGUUUUCCCCUUGCCCUGGUGGGUUCUCUCAGGGAACUCCAGCUUCCUCCCACAGUCCAAAGACAUGCAGCAUAGGUUGAUUGACUCUUAAAUUGCCAUUGGGUCAUGAAUGGGAGAAUGAAUGAUAUCUAUUUCUAUGUGAGCCCUGUGUUUUACAAAAUGACCAGUCCAUGGUGUACCCUGUUUUUUUACAGAUCCCUGCUUACUGUAUCUAUAUCAAAAACGAUGUUAUAUUUUAGAGAUAUUCAUAUGUGGACCAGAUGUUCCUAAUGCUUUGGCAUGAUGGAAACUACAUUCCUCUCCUGAGUCAGUGGGAAAAGCUCCUUUACAGCCUAAUAAAAAUGGACAAAUCACGAGAAAAUGUCUGGAUGAUCAAUGAGACGCUAACAGGGAGGUUAAUAUAUACAUAUAUAUUGUAAAAGUGGACUUGGUACAUUUUCUUAAAGGAGAUUUGAUUACAGAAAUGUUGUUUUGAGUUUAAAGAAAAAAGGUUGAUUCAUUUUCGGGUCAAUUAGGCCACAUAGAAACAAACACAAAAUGACACACACUAGUUUAAUUAUAUUUUUGGAUUGGUCUUAACUAUAAAAUCAAGAUACACCAUUAUGUCCCGUUUCCUUGGUCCCCACUAAUGGGGAAAGUAAAACAACAUUGGUGCAAGUUCAAUUGAAGCUUCCGCCCUGGUGUUUUUUGUGUAUGUGAACAGAGAAGCCGUCAGGGUUUGGGUGUUCUACAGUUUGUAAACGAGUUUUUGAAACAGUUCAGCAUUUGUUAAACGCGGCCCCCAUGUUUUGCUGCGGAGCCAUGCGAUUAAAGGUCACACAGUCAGUGGAGUUGUGAGUUAGUAAUUUAAAUACUUUAGGAGGUGAAACAUUCUUUGACUCAAUGCAGGUGUUAUAGCCAAUUCAUACAAAACGUGUGGAUGUACCUGUAAGGAAAACGUGGCCUAGCUAAAUCAGAAUUAGACACUGCCAUUACAUUGUUUCAGUUUCAUUCAGAAGUUUUGACCUUCUGUUCAAAAGACUUAAAAAAUGGCUCAGUGGAGUUCACAGCCCGGCAGUGUACAAGUGUGCAACGGGCCGUGAUGCAUAUUUAACAGGAUCCAACAUCGCUGCUAUAAACUACACUCUCAUUGAGCCGUUUACUCACUCUCAGUUGCAGGUCUGAGUGUGCAGACAGCCUCGAUUAUACGCACCAUUGCACAAUCCUGCAGCGUAUCAGACACUGCUACUAAUGAUAAUGAAGGACGAAGUACUCCUGUCUCCCCUUUUUCAAACCCCUCUCUUAAUACUCUUAAAUUGUCACACAUUUCUCCACAACUGCCCAGUAGUUACUCAAAGUACCUGAUUAUUCACUCUCAAGCCCAAACAAGCUGCACGCAGCGGUCAUGAUUGUCACCCCUGGACAAAAACGUCUUGUGUGAUUGAGAAAAGGACUGCAGAGCUAACCUUGGGUUUUAUCUCUCCAAUAAGUACCACUCAACAAUCAGACUGGGUCACAGCAGGGCACAGUUACAUUUUCCGUCUGACAUGAUAUGUCGAGAACAGAGGAGAAUGGGUCCCAGCAGUGAUAGCGAAGUGAACAACAGAAUGUUCAACUCUUUUAGUUCAGUUUAGUAUGUACAAACCUAACCAACACUAUAAAGGAGUUAUGCAAUUAAAUAAUGAACAACAGAAAUCGCAGUAGGUGAAAUUGAGACACUGACACAUAGACUAUGCAUUAAAGAUAAGCAUAAAGCAUUAAGAGUGGCCAUUAACAAGAAACGACAGCAACUAACUUUCCAAGUGUAUCACUAGCAGGCAUCAAAGUUAUCUUAGGGAGAAAAGUAAUCAUUUAGGUAGGUCGCAUCCCAAUUUGAAAAGGUAUCACUUUGGAAAUAUCUGCUAUGCAUGGACUCACUCAAAGGCAGAAAGGCUGCUGUUCUGGCAACAGUUGGAAUGGUAUACAAAUGGGGAUCUGGCAAUAUUUUAGUUCUGUCUUUCCCUGAAGGAAUUGCAGCAUUUUAAAUAGGAAACAUUUAGCAGGGGAAUCAACGCAGUAGAAUUGUCACAAUCCUAAAUUGCCAUUGACAUGCAGCUCCCUUAACUAGUGGCUGAAAUGUCAUCUUGUGACUCAUACAUGAGUUUAUUAAAAUACAGCAGAAAACCACUGAAGUCAAUCAUAAAACUAUAAUAGUUUUAUAAUGAACUGAAGGUACCAUUUUGCGGCAAACAUUUUAACAAAUAAGUGCAACGAUUUGAUUGGAGGAAGAGAAUCAUUACCAUCACCAAGGAUAUAGUAAUAAUCUUUGUUAGCUAUUGCAUUAACACCUGGAUACAUUUUGCCUUGCCACUUUCUCUUAUGACUGUGGUGUUUGUGUAAGAUUCAAAUUGUUCCUGCAGAACCUGUUGCUUUCCUCAGAUCCGAUAAACACUUUGUAUGAAGCCUACUGAUGUCCCCCUGAACUCAAAGGUGCUCAAAAAGUCACACGUUAAGAAUCCUUUUAAGAAAAGAAAAAUGUAUUUUGCAACUUCUGCAGAAUAAAUUGGAAGUUUUUAGAUACGGUGUGAAACAAAUCUGUCGAAGUCACCUUGUGACAUGUAAACACCGGCUCCUCAUUCACCUCCCCGCUUUCCUCUUUCCGUGCUCUUUUAUCCAUCUGGUGUUAUGGCAAGCCACCUCAGCUCCAGGAGCAGCUUCUUUCAACCCCUCAGCAGCCUUUCAUCUCGCUUGGAAAAAGGGAGUGCUCCCAUGUUUAUCCCUGAUCCAAGGAGUUUGUAGAGUCAGGGUACAGCGCAGGAGCACAGCAGCAGACAAAGAGCCGGGUAGAUCUGAAGGCAGUCUUUAACUGACAAAGGCCCCGGCUUACCGCAUAUCUGUGACAUUAAGGAUUAGCUGCUGAGAGACAGUGCUGGCUGCUCUUGUUAAUCUCUCCCCUCCCAACAUCAUUCAGUCAACCUCAUUCUCUCAGACUCAGUCUCUCCCCGCCAGACGCUUCCUCUUCCAACUUUAAUUAGUUUUAGCGCGGAUUGAAGGAAAAAAGUUGGUGCUUUCCUCAGGUGAUAAAACAGUAGCUGGCACCGAGCUUAGUCAGGGUUAACCGAGUUGAGGUCAAGUGUGGACUCCUGAGUUUUGAUCAGGCUGCAGAGGAAACAGGGGGCCACGAAUGUGGUAAAGGACUGACUGAAAUUGGUUAUCUUCCAUUUGACGAAGCAACAAUGUCCAUCAAACACAAUUGUUUUUCUUCCCAUCUUUAUCUCAAAAUCACCUACAUUUUUUAAGUAUAAUUUCUGAGGCUCAACGUGUCUGAAACAUUGUACAACCAGUUAUGAUUUAAUACAUUUAACUUGAAGGUCCUGCUCAACAAGAUGAGUAAUGUUUUUUGAUGAAAUAGCCAUCUGGACAUAGCUCCCUAUUUAUUAAUUAUGCAAAGGAGUGCUAAUCAGAAAUAAUGGGCUUCUUAAUUACAGUCCCAACAACAAAACUAGAACAGGUGACCAGAACCGGCUCGGCACCUGGACAUUCCACCACGUGAGUUUCCACCAACAUGCUGGAAAUUGACAUAAUGAGGUUGACAAACUGUCAGCGGUUAAUGAAUGGCAUUGAAAAUCAAGUUAAUUGUCUCUCACAGGUGUCCUCGGGGUGGUGCAUUACAUCUAAUCGAGGUGUCAGUUUCUUACUAAAAUGCAUUAUCAAAUUGCAUCAGUCACACCUUUUUUGCACUGCAUUACCAGCAGUUAUUUUCUUAAUUGAAAUGGCAAGAAACGGUCAGACGUUCUAUAACUUUUACCAGAGCUCCAGUCCCAUGUAUCUUUUUUUUUAAGGGGUCUCAAUAAGUAGUUGAUUACAUAGAAAAUGUUGAAUAAACUCAACCAGAACAUUAAAAAAUGUUUUAAUGUACCCACCUCCUUGCAUAUAUUCAAACUGAGUGGCAUGUAAACGACUAAUGGUAACAGCUGCAUGUGAUGAUGAACCGUUUGUUAGUAUGUGGGUCACUCCAAAGCAUUAUAUGAAUAAUAUCAGAGUGAAUGGCCAAAAGGAGAUGCCGAUAAUCCAAAAUUUUAAUUCCUGACUGACACACAGAAAAAAAGGAUGAAAUAGAAUUUGGUAAUUGAAGGACACAAAUUGAAUGGUGGACCGAGUAAAUGCCGUCCAGCUGAACAACUGACAGAUAUAAAUUAGUACCGAUGUCAGGUCUUGAAAGCUGAGUCAAUCUGGGGUGUUCGUGAGGACAAUAAGUGGGUUUGAGCUAACUCAAGACAGGUUUUUAGAAGGGAAAAACUGUUGGAUUGGGGAUCCUUGUAGUAGCUUAAACCCCAGCGUCUGGGGUUAACACUACUAGACCGCCUUUUUGUGUAAAAAGCCGGUAAAUUACCAUUAAUAUGCACAGAUUUUCAUGAUGAACCUCUUACAGCUCACCUUUCACAUGAAUAUUUAUGGGAAAUAAUCUUAAGACUCCAAAGACAUUGUCUAGAUCUCAGUCCUUUAUCAUGCAUGGAUAUUGCCAUCCUAUCAAUCUGUAUCCCACUGACCGUGCACAGCUAAUUGUGUGACUUUGAAUAUCAAAGCUUGCUAUCUGCAAGGAAGGAGUGCAAAAUGGAGUCAUUGCGUACCAGUAUCAUGAACAUCAAUCAUAAUUGCAGUGUUUCCCUUCGCUUAGUUUUUUUUCCACCUUGGUUCAUCAGGGAUGAGCCCCCCUUCAUGGUAGUCCCUUACAUAAUGGGUUACCAUGAUUUCCACCCCGACCAGUAAUGAAUAAGGUAAAAGACUAAAUCCUCAGGAGGUAUGAGGUGAUUAGAUUAAAUCAUGACUUGUUCGUGGCAUGUCUCUUGAUGUCCAUAGCCUGUGUAAAUUCGUCUGGACGACAUUAGCGUUCACACACCGCUUUAAAGUCAUUGUUUGUCUUUCAGAUUAACCAUCUCUAUAUCAUAAUCACAAAAAUCCCAGCACUGAUUAAUUAUGUACCAGAGAAUUUAAGAUACUCAUGAAAGAAACCGUACCAUGAAAUGGAUAUCAUGCUCCAAGAUUGGAAUAGAAUAAAUGGGGCUUUAGUUGUUGGUACUCAGAUAUUAAUCUUGUAAAUCAGAAAAAAAUGAUGUAGGGCCUACUGCAUUUUAGUAAAGGGGCACAAACAGUUUGUUCAUGCAGCUCAGUCAAAAUGUAUCCAAAUCUGUUGAUACCCAUUAAAGGCUCAGUGUGUAGCAGCUGUAUAGUUGGGUUUCUCUCAGUCUUAGAAUGAGCUGGUUAUACACACACAUAAUGCUCGGGCCAUCCUCAGAGAGUCUGCCAUCUCGCACCUCCAUGUUUCUACAAAAUGCUCGAAUCAUGGGCCAAUUGGUUAUCCUACAUACUUGGCACGUAGAAGAUUCUUCUCCCCAAAAAAUGUUUAAGUCAAACUAAAUAUGAGCUGUGCUUAUGCAAGCCAAAAUUGAUCAGUUUCAACCAUAAACAUUCUCAUCUUUCAGUCAAUCAAUCUGCAACUUUUAUCGACAAUGGACUUGUGUGUGUGUGUGUAGCACUUCAUUCAAAUCCACCUUUUAGCAGUUCAACUGCAAAAGAUUGCCAUUUAUAACUCACGCAGUACAUUUUCUUUGAUGGCAUUGAUAUUUAUUUAUUUUUGUCUGGAAAUCUUUCAGUUCUUAUUAGUUGAAUGCUCGGGGCAACUGGUGGAUGACACCAACAUGCCUGCAGUUUCACAUAUUUAUCCAACACUGUGUGUUGCCAGAUGAUGUGGAGUACUCCGACGCAAUAUGUUUUAGGCCAACAGCGGUGGCCUCACUAGAACGAAGGUGUCGCUUGCGGUUCCCCGCGGUGUGACAGCGUGGUCCAAACGCAGCCUUGUAUCUGCUGAAUGAUGCUGGGGGACAAGGAAAGAUGGUUGUCUGUUGAGUCUAAACACAAGAGCUCUUCAGAGGACACUGUGUGUUUAACACAUUUUAAACAUUUGCAGAGGAAACACUGCCUUAGCUCCUGGUAACGAGAGCUUGUCCUUGCUAUGAAUAUAAAGUUCAUAAGAAGCCGAACCUGGUGUUAUUCAGGUGAGGGGGACAGAGUUAGAACUAAGAGCAGUUUGUUCUCACGCCUUCUGUGUGUUUAAAAACCCAACAUCACGUAAUUUAAGCAAUUUUAGAUACUAAAUUGGGAUGUUGUGGAUUAUAGUAUAGCAGAACUCCCGCUUCCCCUGCUGCUGGCUGACCUGUCUCCAUCCUCAUUAAAAUAAAAUCAAAAAGCAUGCUGGGAUUUGCUGGACCGCAUAGGAUAAAUCAGAUGUGUUUUCCAAAUCGCCGACUGCAUGGGACAGCUGCGUCGUAGCAGAAGUCCCGCAAUUAGUGGACGUAUGAGACUGUCAAGAAAGUGACACCGGUUACAGAAAAUGUAUUUUUCUGCUUGAAAAAAGUUGAAGAGGUCUGCAUGACCACUUUAACCACCAUAACAAAUAUAUAAAACAGAAUCUUUCCUUAUCGGGAGGGUUGGCAAGUGUUCCUUUGCUAUAACAGGUGUUUCAACGUUCAUCCAGAAGACAUCGGUUAUUCAGAUUCCUGUCUCUGUCAAACCACUCCGCUUUUGCUCGGUUUGAGAUUUAGUAAAAGUGGACAGUACAAGCUGGUAAACUGACUGCUUCCUCUAGCUUGGACACUUCACCUCUCAGUCCCUUGAAAGAUCAGACCGGUCAGUGGAAGUUUCCCACUGCUGCGCGGUAGCUCAAAGUCAAUAUAGGACAAUAUACAGUAUUCAUUCCACUCACACUAAAAUGUUCACUUCCUCAUGACCUGGGUCAAUCCAUGAAUUGGUUGAGGGCAUAAACUAUGCUGUGGGAGUAGACGUUCACUCAUGACACCAUGCAAAUCAAAGCCUUUUUUUAAGCCACUAUUCACACGCAUGAGUGACCCCCCCCCCAACAUGUGCACACAUUUGACAACAUCUGAUUAGCUUAAGAGUGCCUACUACCUUUCUUGUAAUUAAUUCCAAAGGAACUUGGAAGGAGAGUAGUUCCUCUUAAAGGAGAAUCUUCUGCACCAUUUAACUGGAUAAUGGCAGAGAUUUUUAUGAUGUUGAUAUUAAUGGGCGACCUUGGCUUUCAAGGUGUUGGCAGCUACCGUAGUCCGUGGAGACAAGAGCUGACCGAAUAAAGCGUGGUGUCAACUUCGUUUUGAUGACACAGAAAAUCCAGUGUCUCCUCACUUUGUUAAGUCUACUUUACACAGAAAACAUACACAAAAAUGUUGACCGGAUAUUGACUCUG
ensembl:lncRNA